GAUGAACGCUGGCGGCGUGCCUAAUACAUGCAAGUCGAGCGAACGGACGAGAAGCUUGCUUCUCUGAUGUUGGCGGCGGACGGGUGAGUAACACGUGGAUAACCUACCUAUAAGACUGGGAUAACUUCGGGAAACCGUAGCUAAUACCGGAUAAUAUUUUGAACCGCAUGGUUCAAAAGUGAAAGACGGUCUUGCUGUCACUUAUAGAUGGAUCCGCGCUGCAUUAGCUAGUUGGUAAGGUAACGGCUUACCAAGGCAACGAUGCAUAGCCGACCUGAGAGGGUGAUCGGCCACACUGGAACUGAGACACGGUCCAGACUCCUACGGGAGGCAGCAGUAGGGAAUCUUCCGCAAUGGGCGAAAGCCUGACGGAGCAACGCCGCGUGAGUGAUGAAGGUCUUCGGAUCGUAAAACUCUGUUAUUAGGGAAGAACAAAUGUGUAAGUAACUGUGCACAUCUUGACGGUACCUAAUCAGAAAGCCACGGCUAACUACGUG
rnacentral:rRNA from 1 species